rnacentral:rRNA from 1 species
GAUGAACGCUGGCGGCGUGCUUAACACAUGCAAGUCGAACGGUGAAGCGCCUUCCUUUUUGGUGGGUGUGGAUGGGUGGCCAACGGGUGAGUAACACGUGAGUAACCUGCCCCCACCGUCUGGAUAACCGCAAGAAAGUGUGGCUAAUACGGGAUAUUCUGAAUCUGUUGCUUGAUGGGUCUGGGAAGGAUAUUGUUUCGGUGGGGGAUGGGCUCGCGCUGUAUUAGCUUGUUGGUGGGGUGAUGGCUUACCAAGGCGGCGGCGGCUAGCCGGCCUGAGAGGGGGAUCGGCCACACUACAGGUGAGGCGACGCCCACCAUCCUACGGCGGGAGGCAGCAGGGGAGAAUACGGCACAGGGGGAGGAAGGCUGAUGCAGCGACGCGUGGUGAGUGAUGGAGGUCUGAGGGUUGUGAUCUGCUUUCGCCAGUGAAGCAAGCUGGCCUCGUUUGUGGAUGGGUUGACGGUAGCUGGAUAGAAAGCCCCGGCUAACUACGUG